AUUGAACGCUGGCGGCAUGCCUUACACAUGCAAGUCGAACGGUAACAGGUUAAGCUGACGAGUGGCGAACGGGUGAGUAAUGUAUCGGAACGUGCCCAGUCGUGGGGGAUAACUGCUCGAAAGAGCAGCUAAUACCGCAUACGACCUGAGGGUGAAAGCGGGGGAUCGCAAGACCUCGCGCGAUUGGAGCGGCCGAUAUCAGAUUAGGUAGUUGGUGAGGUAAAUGCUCACCAAGCCGACGAUCUGUAGCUGGUCUGAGAGGACGACCAGCCACACUGGGACUGAGACACGGCCCAGACUCCUACGGGAGGCAGCAGUGGGGAAUUUUGGACAAUGGGCGCAAGCCUGAUCCAGCCAUGCCGCGUGCGGGAAGAAGGCCUUCGGGUUGUAAACCGCUUUUGUCAGGGAAGAAAAGGUUCUGGCUAAUACCUGGGACUCAUGACGGUACCUGAAGAAUAAGCACCGGCUAACUACGUG
rnacentral:rRNA from 1 species